GGACCUCAGGUCAGGCAAGACUACCCGCUGAGUUUAAGCAUAUCACUAAGCGGAGGAAAAGAAACUAACAAGGAUUUCCUUAGUAACGGCGAGCGAACCGGAAAUUGCCCAGCUUGAAAAUCGGGGCGCUUUGCGCUUUGAAUUGUAGUCUGGAGAAGGGACCUCAGCAACGGACCGUGCUUCAGUCCUUUGGAAAGGGACGCCAGAGAGGGUGAGAGCCCCGUCUAGCACGGACCCUGUUGCAACACGAGGCUCUGUCUACGAGUCGGGUUGUUUGGGAAUGCAGCCUUAAGUGGGUGGUAAAUCUCAUCCAAGGCUAAAUACUGGCGAGAGACCGAUAGUGCACAAGUACCGCGAGGGAAAGAUGAAAAGGACUUUGAAAAGAGAGUUAAAAAGUGCUUGAAAUUGCUGGGAGGGAAGCGAAUGGAUGCCUUUGUUGCCUGCUGGUUGUGUGCGGAACGGCGUAAAAGCUGGUCUGUCAAUCAACUCAGCGGGCUCGCUAGUGUGGGGGUGGAUGCCGGGAUAAAGGUCCCGGGCUCUUUUGCUUGGGAUUGAUGCCGGUGUCUACUCUGUGGCCUAGGGUGUGCGCCAUUCUGGCGGGCAACCUGCACACCCGGGACGCUGGCGGUUUUAGGUUUUUCAUUCGACCCGUCUUGAAACACGGACCAAGGAGUCUAACAUAUAUGCGAGCCUGCGGGUGUUUACACCUUGCCAGGCGUAAGGAAACUGAUGUGUGGGAUCCCCUUCGGUGGUGCACCACCGACCGACCAUGAGCUUUUGUGAAAGGUUCGAGUGUAAGCAUACCUGCUGGGACCCGAAAGAUGGUGAACUAUGCCUGGGCAGGGCGAAGCCAGAGGAAACUCUGGUGGAGGCUCGUAGCGAUACUGACGUGCAAAUCGUUCGUCAGACUUGGGUAUAGGGGCGAAAGACUAAUCGAACCAUCUAGUAGCUGGUUCCCUCCGAAGUAUCCCUCAGGAUAGCUAGAGCUCAAAUUGAGAGUUUUAUCAGGUAAAGCGAAUGAUUAGAGGCAUUGGGGGUGAAACACCCUCGACCUAUUCUCAAACUUUAAAUAGGUAAGGUGUCGGGGUUGCUCCGGCUGAACCCCGACCUUUGAAUCUGAGCUCCAAGUGGGCCAUUUUUGGUUAAGCAGAUCGACUAGGCCGUUUUCGGUACAUUCGUCCGAGGCAUAGGAUCAUCCGCCCGGUAACCCGGUACCGACCACGACCAUAACGAUUUCCCUAGACAAUUCCUAUGUCACCUCCUACGGUUUGGGUGUCCGGGGGGUACCUGUAUCAUGGAAGACGAGGAUUAGUAAUGCAAUCUCCGCUAGCUCUAUCUCUCAUUUUGUGAAAGUACACAGCUAGGUCUCAAAACUGAACUGAGAUUUGCACGACUGAUGCUCGCGAGCCAAUGUACUCAGGUACAUGUCCGGGCCGCACAUCAGAAGUGACUUCCAAAGAUUAGAGCUAAGGAACAUGCUCAACCUGAUCGCUAUCCGUUGACUCAUGGGUCUCGCCGUCUGGACCAGUCGCUGUCAUCCCGUCUUUUUUCUAAGCGGAUGAUUAGAAGCUGGAACAGUCGAGAGUACAGGCACUACCUGGGCAGAGUCAGUGAGAACCCCUUGUGUCGCCGUGGUGUUUAGUUCCAGCGCUCUGGCCAAGAGGGAUUCCUACAGGCCAAGGGUAAAAAAACGCAGCAAAACGAAUCGUUUGUACCCGUUUUUGCGUGGCCAGGAAAGCGGUAGUGAGAUUCCUCGCGACCUUAGUGGUGGGCGCAAGCUCGUUUUGAGCUAUCCCCAAACAAGCACUUCGUUGGCGCUGCUCAUUCUUGCGGUGCGCAACGAAGCGGCUGUUGAUCCUGGAGUGGGUGAGAAGUGUGCGUGGUUGUGCUAGUGCACAGCCUUGCAGCGGCCCAAGAUUGCUCUGCUUGUGGAUGCGCUCCUGGAGAAUGCGGCGGCGGCGGAUGCAAGCGAGAAACCCUAAUGUUAGGGUUUUUCCCGUCGCUUCAUACCUUUCGGUGUGAGAAAAUCCAGCGCCCGCAGCCAUGAAGUCGAAUAGCUAUAGCUUGUAAUUAGGUUUGCCGAUCCGUACGGCGUGUUUCUUCGCGCGAGAUUCUGUGAGGAAUCCAAGGUUUUGUUUUUUACCAUGCCACGUCUACUCAUGUAUCCCAUUAGCUUAUUCAUGGGAAAACAGAGUUUUCUGUAAGUAAGGUUUCCUUUAAAAAUUUGUUUUUAAGGAAGACCUUGCUGUGGUUAAGGCGUGGGAUCUGUCUCAGAGUGAGAGAGCAGCAACUUGUGUUGUUUUUUAAUUUUUAUCAAUCAAGACACAGUUGUAGUCAAGGGUGCGCUUGCGUUUUUUAGUUCAGCGCGUAACCAAGGACUACAUGGUAAGUUUGGGGGAACUAAUUCUUUUGUUGUUCACAAUCCAAAACGGCAUAAAUAUCGAAUCUAUUAUGUUUCGAUAUGAUGCAAAAUUGAUGGAUCAUCCUGUCUAGAGGACAG
rnacentral:rRNA from 1 species